rnacentral:lncRNA from 1 species
AUAACCAAGGAAUCGAAUCCUUUUCUGACGGAGCGCUGAACCUGACUGAAUCCACCAGAGCAAAGCGCAAAGCGUCAAGAUCCUGAUAAAUCAGCCAAAGAUUAUAGGAUUAUAAUAUAUCUUUGGGUUCUGGAAGGAUGACAUUACGAGUAGGUCGAAAGUCCGGUAAGCUGAAAGUGGUGAAUAUAACGACGACGGCUGUUUGAUUCACCAGUUCCGGAUAUUGGAUUUUGGAAUAGAAACAAAAUGAAACUAGUACCAACUUAUCGCCAACCGUGCUUCAGAAUAUUUCCUGUACGAGCAGAG